rnacentral:lncRNA from 1 species
UGUAAAUAUAAUCUCAUAAUCACGAUAUAGUCGUCAGCUGAUAUCUAUACUAUCAUCUCAUCAUAUUACAUGUGAUCCACCAAAAAUGUACCCUCUGACUAAAAUCUGAAAUCCGCCCCUUAGGCCAAACACUUUCGACACGGGCCUUUGGCCCCUUUCGUGAAUGAAAGCAGGUCUUAAGACCUCUAGUAAUCAAUUCUAUAACACGACCAAGGCCCCUUAGUAAACUAUAUGUACACGGCCACAACCCCUUCAUCCUCAGUCAACCCCUCAGUAUAGUAUAGAAUACGGCCAAGGCCCCUCAGUGAACUAGAAAAAUAUAUUAUCACGGAUACUUUUCUGGUCGAUCUCAAAAUUACAUGUCUCAUAUACCAAACAAAUCUCAAUAUUACAUGUCUUAUAUACCAAGUCACAAAUGUAACAUAAAUAAUUUUUGAGAUUCCACAUGUAUUAUAAUAAAAGAUAUUUCCAUAGUAACCAUAUAAUUCAAACACAUAAUUGCACAUACCUUGAUAAUAUACUUAAUUUAUAAAUACUUUAAAAAUAUUUAUAUUUUUCCACUCACAGAGUUAUAGGCUGCAAGCUAAUCUAGACAUUUUGCUUUCCGAAUAUCCUCGCUACCUCAUCCUGAAAUAACAAUAAAAUUGCAUGAAUUCAUAUUGGUCGUGGAAUAACAAAUACCCAUCUUACUUGUAUUCCUCUAUUUUUAUUCUUUAUUUGUUUCAUAGUUCUUCCUAUAUAUUUUAAUAAGUUUCAUAUUCGCUUGAUUGAAACCAAAACCCAUCAUAAAUCCUUGUUCAAGCUGAAAAGAAGCCUAAAAGAGAAGUCCAAAAUUCUUUCUUGAUGGUACCUAGACAGCCACUUGUUCGCAUAAAAGUCCUCCCGUCUAGUUGUCGAAAACAAAAAUUCCUACUUAUACUAAUAUAAACCCAUAUUGUUCAAGUAAUUGGGAAAUUUUGAACACAUAAUCAAUGAUUAAAGUCAAUAACAUCAAACCCAUUUCCCUUUUAAUUCUCGUUUCUCACACCUUCAACCCAAAUUCCACUGACUUUCUAAUUCUUGAAAUCCAGAUAUGGAUAAAAAACCAAAAAUCACCUCAACUAACACUAUAAUAAAUAAAGUCUUAAAACAAACUAGUCCCUAUAAAAUGCUUGACUUUAAACACUAAUUCCAUUUUUACCUAUUGAAAUAGAAGAAGAAUUGGAGACCCAUGAGCUAGAAUAGACAAUUUCUUUCGAUCAACUUGAUUGGCCACCAUCUUCUAUUUCCCUUUUUCUUUCCCAAAUCUUCUU